rnacentral:rRNA from 1 species
GUCCACGCCGUAACAAUGGAUACUCGGUUAAGAGGGACUCGACCCCUUUGAGCCUUAGCUAACGCGUUAAGUAUCCCGCCUGGGAGUACGGUCGCAAGAUUAAACUCAAAGGAAUAGACGGGACCCACACAAGCGGUGGAGCAUGUGGUUCAAUUCGACGAUAAACGAGGAACCUUACCAAGGCUUGACAUCUCCGGAAUCUCCUGGAAACAGGGGAGUGCCGCAAGGAACCGGAUGACAGGUGCUGCAUGGUCGUCGU